CUCCCCUCAGGGACAUUCGAUAAAAUUGUAAUGAUACAGAGAAGAUUAGCAUGGCCCCUGCGCAAGGAUGACAUGCACAAAUCGAGAAAUGGUCCAAAUUUUU
rnacentral:snRNA from 1 species